rfam:Arabidopsis lyrata subsp. lyrata unplaced genomic scaffold ARALYscaffold_3, whole genome shotgun sequence.
AACGGCGAGGGAUGAUGACUCAAUUAGAUGUGCGAAUGGAGAAAUUCUUCAUUUUGAGCUCAAAACUUUAUUUGGCAUAAUAAUCUGACUUCGCCUUC